GAUGAACGCUGGCGGCGUGCCUAAUACAUGCAAGUCGAGCGAACAGACGAGGAGCUUGCUCCUCUGACGUUAGCGGCGGACGGGUGAGUAACACGUGGAUAACCUACCUAUAAGACUGGGAUAACUUCGGGAAACCGGAGCUAAUACCGGAUAAUAUAUUGAACCGCAUGGUUCAAUAGUGAAAGACGGUUUUGCUGUCACUUAUAGAUGGAUCCGCGCCGCAUUAGCUAGUUGGUAAGGUAACGGCUUACCAAGGCAACGAUGCGCAGCCGACCUGAGAGGGUCGUCGGCCACACUGGAACUGAGACACGGUCCAGACUCCUACGGGAGGCAGCAGUAGGGAAUCUUCCGCAAUGGGCGAAAGCCUGACGGAGCAACGCCGCGUGAGUGAUGAAGGUCUUCGGAUCGUAAAACUCUGUUAUUAGGGAAGAACAAAUGUGUAAGUAACUAUGCACGUCUUGACGGUACCUAAUCAGAAAGCCACGGCUAACUACGUG
rnacentral:rRNA from 1 species